AGGACGAACGCUGGCGGUGUGCUUCACACAUGCAAGUCGAACGGGGUAGCAAUACCCAGUGGCGGACGGGUGAGUAACGCGUAGAAAUCUGCCUUGAGAUGGGGGAUAACAGUCCGAAAGGAUUGCUAAUACCGCAUAUGUAUACAUUCGGACACGGGUGUAUAUGAAAGGAGUAAUCCGUCUUAAGAUGAGUCUGCGUCCGAUUAGCUAGUUGGUAGGGUAAAGGCCUACCAAGGCGACGAUCGGUAGCUGGUCUGAGAGGAUGAUCAGCCACAAUGGGACUGAGACACGGCCCAUACUCCUACGGGAGGCAGCAGUGGGGAAUUUUGUGCAAUGGGGGAAACCCUGACACAGCGACACCGCGUGAACGAAGAAGCCCUUUGGGGUGUAAAGUUCUGUCGGCUGGAACGAAAAAUGACGGUACCAGCAAAGGAAGCAUCGGCUAACUACGUGCCAGCAGCCGC
rnacentral:rRNA from 1 species